rnacentral:lncRNA from 1 species
AAAAAUCGAUUAAUUCAUGUUAUAUGAUUCACUUGGUCCGAAUUAUUAAUUUCACUCAUUUGAUCAUUCAUCAAAACAAUAUUUAUGGGUCCAAAAUUUUCAAUCUAAUCUUUAUUUAAUAUAUUUUUUAUUAUAUCAAUUUCAUAUUUGUGAUAAGCUUAGUCGAAAAUUGAGCUUGCUUUCUUCUCGCAUUCGACGUGUCCUCGCUGUCUUUUUCAUGAUCCGACUCCUCAAGCACAUGCCUUGGAUAUAAUACUAAUCCUUCCCUGAUGCAUCUGUAUCCAUCCCUUAUUCUGCGUUACAUAUGUAUACUCCAUUAAAGAAAGUGAAAUGACAGCAUACAGCUUCGCAUGCGUCGGUUCGUCUUCUCGUCUCAUCAGAGUCGAGACCUGUUCGUGGAGAUGACCGCUUGUUUUUGGGCUUGCGGAGCAUAGAAAGAACACCUCUUUUGUCGACUGGUUUCAUGUCAUCGUUCGACAGGUGUCUUAUUUCUGCGUACGUGCUGCUGUGCGUAGCCAAGCGCCUCCAAUGUCCGCCCUCGUCCACGUAGCGUCAUGCUUGAGCCAUGCCUGCCGCCAUCGCCUACAUGGCUUCACUUACAGAUCGGAGGUUGAAUACUGCUUUGCUUAGUUAAGGAGUCACAAGAUAAUGCCGCCCAGCAUCAGCAGUGGAGAGGAGGAAUUCUUAGCAGCAUCCGAGAAGGCGCCCAGCAUCAGCAGUGAGCACGACUACAGACGUCCGUUGGCUAGCGAUGCUCGUCGGGCGAUUGACUACUUCACCGGCAAGGAGGAGACAAGAAAAUGGAUCGCGGAGACCGGAGAGUCCACGCCGGUACAUUAUGUCCGAACCCGUGUCGUUUCUUUGGUUGAUGCUCUCCCUCCAUGAACAUAUUGCUUGGAGCAGGCUAAGUUAGGACAAACGGAUGAGGCAGCGAGACAGCAGCGUGAAGAGGCAAGGCUGAGGGAGGCGGAGGCGGAGGAUAGGCCGAGGGCGGAGGAUAAGAGAAGGAAGGCCGAGCCAGGACUCAGUACAGAGGCUCAGAAGGGUUAAUUACAUAUUAUUACCCGUUAUAGUUAAUUAGUCUUAGUCCUUAUAUUUUAAAUAAUUAUAUUAACACUCCUAUAUUUACUCUAAUAUCACCUAUUUUAUU